AGAGUUUGAUCAUGGCUCAGAUUGAACGCUGGCGGCAGGCCUAACACAUGCAAGUCGAGCGGUAGCACAGAGAGCUUGCUCUCGGGUGACGAGCGGCGGACGGGUGAGUAAUGUCUGGGAAACUGCCUGAUGGAGGGGGAUAACUACUGGAAACGGUAGCUAAUACCGCAUAAUGUCGCAAGACCAAAGUGGGGGACCUUCGGGCCUCAUGCCAUCAGAUGUGCCCAGAUGGGAUUAGCUAGUAGGUGGGGUAACGGCUCACCUAGGCGACGAUCCCUAGCUGGUCUGAGAGGAUGACCAGCCACACUGGAACUGAGACACGGUCCAGACUCCUACGGGAGGCAGCAGUGGGGAAUAUUGCACAAUGGGCGCAAGCCUGAUGCAGCCAUGCCGCGUGUGUGAAGAAGGCCUUCGGGUUGUAAAGCACUUUCAGCGGGGAGGAAGGCGUUAAGGUUAAUAACCUUGGCGAUUGACGUUACCCGCAGAAGAAGCACCGGCUAACUCCGUGCCAGCAGCCGCGGUAAUACGGAGGGUGCAAGCGUUAAUCGGAAUUACUGGGCGUAAAGCGCACGCAGGCGGUCUGUCAAGUCGGAUGUGAAAUCCCCGGGCUCAACCUGGGAACUGCAUUCGAAACUGGCAGGCUAGAGUCUUGUAGAGGGGGGUAGAAUUCCAGGUGUAGCGGUGAAAUGCGUAGAGAUCUGGAGGAAUACCGGUGGCGAAGGCGGCCCCCUGGACAAAGACUGACGCUCAGGUGCGAAAGCGUGGGGAGCAAACAGGAUUAGAUACCCUGGUAGUCCACGCCGUAAACGAUGUCGAUUUGGAGGUUGUGCCCUUGAGGCGUGGCUUCCGGAGCUAACGCGUUAAAUCGACCGCCUGGGGAGUACGGCCGCAAGGUUAAAACUCAAAUGAAUUGACGGGGGCCCGCACAAGCGGUGGAGCAUGUGGUUUAAUUCGAUGCAACGCGAAGAACCUUACCUGGUCUUGACAUCCACAGAACUUAGCAGAGAUGCUUUGGUGCCUUCGGGAACUGUGAGACAGGUG
rnacentral:rRNA from 1 species